CUUCUUGGCCUCUGAUUGCAACAGCAGGACAAUCCAACAUUUUAGUCUGACUUCAUCUGGAAAUAUUUCUUUGACCCUGAAUCAGUUUGAAGGCAGGCCAGCUCCUCAUCAGAGCUGAGAUCUUCUCUGUCCUCCAUGCUGGAAAUGUACAAGUCCAGCAGCUCCUGAUCAGUGACAUCAGAGCGUGACAUCAUCAGUAGAACGAUGAUGUCAUUUCCCUCUCAGAGCAGCUUGGAAAUCUGAGAGGAAAGAUGCAAACAAAGACUCUCUGGACUGUUGGAUCUGCUGGUUCUGGUUCCAGAUGCUCCUUGGACACUUUCACAAGCCAUUACUGCAGCUGCUGGAUUCAGGAUGCUGCUUCUUCUUCUUGGUCUCAUUGUAAAUGUGUGCAGCAGCGCCACCUGGUGGUGUUGGUUGGUAGAGGAAGUGCUGAAAGGUUGGAGGUGUUUGUCAGAGGUGUGUGAUGAUGGAAGCCUCUCCCUGGUUUGUGAGUCUGAGCUCAGAGAUCAAAUCUCUGAUUCUUGUUGAACUCUUUGUUGAAUGUGAUGCAGCUUCUCCUUUUUAAUGUUUGUAUUUCUGGAUAUUACAGUGAGGCCACAGCAGGUUUUCAGCAGCAGGGCUGUUUAGUGUUUCAUUCCUUCAUCUGUGUGUGGGAGUGUGGAUGGAACAGGUAUCCAGGUGUUGUGUCAGAGUUUAGAUUGAUUGUAUUUUAAUGCUGAUUAUUAAAUCAGGUUGAGCUUCCAGAAAUGUUUCCUUAGUUUCCUGAUGUCCUUUUAGGCUUCAGUGAGUUUCUUCAGGUUGUUACUGAGGGAUUUCCUUUCUCCUCUCUGUUGGAGCUUUUCCUGUGUUUGGAGAAAUGAGUUGUGCUGCAGCAGCACCAACUGUCCUUCCUACAUCCACUGCAGUUUGCAAUCCAAAUGUUGGACUGUUCCUGUCUCAGUGGAGGACAAUGUGUGUCUGAGAGACAUGUAAUGUCCAUGUUUGCUGCUGAAAGAGACUGAUGGUCUGACCCCCCUCCUCCUUUCAGGGUGGAGCCUGCUGGAGUCCCAUUCUUGACACCAGGUGUGAGGAAGUAUUCCUGUCAACUCACCAUCGACACAAACACAGUGAACAGAAAACUCAAACUGUCUGAAGACAUCAGGAAGGUGACAUAUGUGAAGGAGCUUCAGUCAUAUCCUGAUCAUCCAGACAGAUUUGAUUGUUAUCAUCAGCUGCUGUGUAGAACUGGUUUGACUGGUCGCUGUUACUGGGAGGUUGAGUGGAGAGGAGAAGUUUAUAUAUCAGUGAGUUACAGAAGAAUCAGGAGGAAAGGAAACAGUAGAGACUGUUGGUUUGGAUGGAAUGAUCAUUCCUGGAGUCUGAGCUGCUCUGAUGUUGGUUACUCUGUCUGGCACAAU